GCGCCUGCGCGAUGCCAGAGGGGCGGAGCCCACGCGCGCGUCUCGGUUGCCUGGUUACCGCUGCGAGACAAUUAGGAAGGGCGGUUGGCCCUCAUUUUCAGAGGAGCCUGCGGAGAAGCGCACACCUUGGUUCUUCCAGCUUGGUUCUGGUCUGCGGAGAGCGAUGCCGCUUCCCGACACGAUGUUCUGCGCGCAGCAGAUCCACAUCCCCCCUGAACUGCCGGACAUCCUGAAGCAGUUCACCAAGGCUGCGAUCCGCACCCAGCCCGCCGACGUGCUCCAGUGGUCCGCGGGGUAUUUUUCAGCUUUGUCAAGAGGAGAUCCACUGCCUGUGAAGGACAGAAUCGAAAUGCCCAUGGCCACUCAGAAAACAGACACAGGCCUGACUCAAGGACUCCUUAAAGUUUUGCAUAAGCAGUGUAGCCACAAGGAAUAUGUGGACUUAGCAGAUCUUGAGCAGAAAUGGAAAAAUUUGUGCCUGCCUGUAGAAAAAUUCAGAGCUCUCCUGCAGCUGGAUCCUUGCGAAGACAAAAUCGAGUGGAUAAAAUUUUUAGCACUUGGAUGCAGCAUGCUUGGUGGGUCACUGAACACUGCGAUGAAGCACCUCUGCGAGAUCCUGACCACGGAUCCCGAGGGCGGGCCCGCGCGCAUCCCUUUCGGGACCUUCUCCUACGUCUACCGCUACCUGUCGGGGCUCGACUCGGACAUCCCUGAGUCGGACACCGAGGCCUACCUCUCCUCGCUGAAGGAGAACGCAGUAUUUAUCUACAUAUUUGGCUGCCCUGGGUCUUAGUUGCAGCAUGUAGGAUCUAACACCCUGACCAGGAUGGAACCCCAUGCCCCUGCACUGGGAGUGCGGAGUCUUAGCCACUGGACCACGGGGGAAGUCCUUCAACCGGCGUUUCUAACAUCCACCCCUCCAUUUCCUUGGUGCCGGCUUUCCAUGAGGUUGGAAGACCCAAAAACGAAAAGAGUGGGAGAGUCCCCUGGAGAAGGCGGAGGAGCAUGGACAGCCACUGAGGACCGGUGUGGAGACCUGACGAUGCAGCGGCAGGAAGGACCUGGACUGGCACCAGGGCACUCCUGCAGAAUCGGGGGGAAAAAACGGGCCGUCCUCUGCGUGUAUCAGUGCGUCUUCUCUUCCCGUAAGGACAGCAGUCAGUGAUGACUCUGCUCGAGGAUGACUUCAUCAUAACUAAUCAUCUCUGCAGAGACUCUGUUUUUCCAGAUAAGGUCACGUUCAGAGGUUCUGGUGGGACCUGCGUUUUGGGAGGGGACAUUAUUCAAUCCACUACCUUUCCUUACCCAUAUAUUGUUGGAUUCUCAUGUCUGAAAAAAAUUUAUUAAUUGGAGAAAAUAA